rnacentral:rRNA from 1 species
AUCAUGAGUUCACAUGUCCGCAUGAUUAAAGGUAUUUUCCGGUAGACGAUGGGGAUGCGUUCCAUUAGAUAGUAGGCGGGGUAACGGCCCACCUAGUCAACGACGGAUAGGGGUUCUGAGAGGAAGGUCCCCCACAUUGGAACUGAGACACGGUCCAAACUCCUACGGGAGGCAGCAGUGAGGAAUAUUGGUCAAUGGGCGAUGGCCUGAACCAGCCAAGUAGCGUGAAGGAUGACUGCCCUAUGGGUUGUAAACUUCUUUUAUAAAGGAAUAAAGUCGGGUAUGCAUACCCGUUUGCAUGUACUUUAUGAAUAAGGAUCGGCUAACUCCGUGCCAGCAGCCGCGGUAAUACGGAGGAUCCGAGCGUUAUCCGGAUUUAUUGGGUUUAAAGGGAGCGUAGAUGGAUGUUUAAGUCAGUUGUGAAAGUUUGCGGCUCAACCGUAAAAUUGCAGUUGAUACUGGAUGUCUUGAGUGCAGUUGAGGCAGGCGGAAUUCGUGGUGUAGCGGUGAAAUGCUUAGAUAUCACGAAGAACUCCGAUUG